UACGUAGGGGGCAAGCGUUGUCCGGAUUUACUGGGCGUAAAGCGCGCGUAGGCGGCUUUGCAAGUCGGGUGUGAAAUCCCCAGGCUCAACCUGGGAACUGCAUUCGAGACUGCAUUGCUAGAGUAUGGGAGAGGGAAGUGGAAUUUCCGGUGUAGCGGUGAAAUGCGUAGAUAUCGGAAGGAACAUCAGUGGCGAAAGCGACUUCCUGGACCAAUACUGACGCUCAUGUGCGAAAGCGUGGGGAGCAAACAGG
rnacentral:rRNA from 1 species